UGGUGGAGUGAUUUGUCUGGUUAAUUCCGAUAACGAACGAGACCUUAACCUGCUAAAUAGUUACGUUAACCUUUGGUUGACGGUCAACUUCUUAGAGGGACUAUUGACGUUUAGUCAAUGGAAGUUUGAGGCAAUAACA
rnacentral:rRNA from 1 species